rnacentral:rRNA from 1 species
UACGUAGGUGACAAGCGUUGUCCGGAUUUACUGGGCGUAAAGAGCGCGCAGGCGGUCGUUCAAGUCGAGUGUGAAAGCCCCCGGCUCAACUGGGGAGGGUCAUUCGAUACUGAUCGACUCGAAGGCAGGAGAGGGAAGUGGAAUUCCCGGUGUAGUGGUGAAAUGCGUAGAUAUCGGGAGGAACACCAGUGGCGAAGGCGACUUCCUGGCCUGUUCUUGACGCUGAGGCGCGAAAGCUGGGGGAGCAAACGGG